rnacentral:lncRNA from 1 species
UGUCAUUAUUCUAUCUACCACAUAAGGAUUUCAGACAUUGGACAACAGGCGGGAUGAAGGGGAACAAAUGAGGUGAGCCUCAUUUAGCUCAGUAGCUUCAGUUACUGACAGAGGAGAGUUUCCAGGCCAUACCACAGGAAGGGAGGACUCAAACAGAUCUUGAUGGUCUCCUUGAAUAGAGGAAACAGAUCUUGAUGGUCUCCUUGAAUAGAGGAAACAGAGUUGAGAAUUCACACAGGGCAAGGUAGCUAGAUUUCACUUGGCAGAGUACUGGUGAGGAGAGAGCUUCAUGGAAAAGAGAGAACUAAAUAGAGAAAGAGAGCUUCGGAUAUUUGCCAAGUUGUCCUUGAGUCUUUUCUUUUUUUUUUUUUUUUUUGGUAGAGACGGGGUUCUCCCUAUAUUGCCCAGGAUGGUCUCUAUCUCCUGACCUCGUGAUCCGCCUGCCUCCCAAACUCACCAAAGUGUAUGUAGAAAG